rnacentral:rRNA from 1 species
AUGUCUCCUAGCACCUAUCCGCUCGAAGACGAGAAUGUCAAUCCUACCGCGAAUUGGAAAUCAUCAGCACCAGCUCCAGCAAAGAAAUCAUGGAUCCCAGCGGGCUUUGGAGGCAGCGGCAAGCAUGACGCCACCAUCGACAUACCAUUAUAUGAUCCGAAGAAGCGGGAGCAAGAGCUCUUAUCAUGGGAGGAGGAUUUGAAGAGGAGGGAGCGGGAUAUCAUACAGAGGGAGAAUGCAAUGAACAGAGCUGGUGUCACCAUCGAAGUGAAAAAUUGGCCACCAUUCUUCCCUGUCAUACAUCAUGACAUAGCCAAUGAAAUACCAACCCAUGCUCAUCAGUUGCAAUAUUCAGCAUUUGCUAGUUGGCUAGGAAUUGUUGUAUGUCUCAGUUGGAAUGCAUUUGCUGUCUUAGUUGAAUCAAUUCACGGGGAAGAUAUUGUCCUUUUUCUUCUUGCCAUCAUCUAUGCGGCAUUUGGAUGUCCUCUUUCAUACAUCCUAUGGUACAGGCCUCUGUACCAGGCCAUGAGAACUGAUAGCGUGGUGACAUUUGCCCAGUUUUUCGUCUUCUACUCGGUGCAUGUUGGAUUUUGUGUUAUUGCUGCAAUUGCUCCGCCGAUAAUAUUCAUGGGGAAAACUCUUACGGGAAUUCUUGUGGCUAUCGAUGUUUUAAACACGGAUAUGUUUGUCGGGGUACUUUAUCUAAUUGGAUUUGUAUUGUUCACGGCGGAAUCUCUUAUAAGCAUUUGGGUGCUUGAGAGAGUAUACAUGUAUUUUCGAGGGCACAGGUGA